rnacentral:sRNA from 1 species
CUUAUCGAAAAUGUGAAGUACAUGCUACUUAUAGCCAAAUAUUCCCAAACCCUAAUACUCAAAACAACGAAGUAUUGGGACGGGUUAAGAACUGUACUCGACCCAUGUGGUCGAGUGAGAGGUUGAAUGAAUAGCUGUAGUCUUCUUUUCUUCCUUGUGCUCGAGUGUCUGGGUGAGUGCGGAAUGAAGAAGGCUCUGAAGCUCGUCAUCGAGUAUGCAGUCGAGUGGUGGUGAUGGUGACACUCAACAUCCAGGUGGAAUGAUGAGGUCGAGUGAAUGUCUCGCAAUGGGAUGAAGUCACUCGAAGAGUGGUGGUCAGAAGAUGGAGAUGAAGUCACUCGACCUGGGGGUCGAGUGAUGUGAUCGAGUGGUGGUCAUGAGAUGGAGAUGAAGACACUCGACCUGGGGGUCGAGUGUUGUGGUAGAGUGGCGGUGUCUUCUACUCGACCUGGGGGUCGAGUGGUCUCUUGAGAUCUUGAAGCUCCUACUCGACCUCUGGGUCGAGUGGUUUGUCAUGAUUAGGUCCGCUUCUUCCAGUUAGCUCGUCGACAACUCCAAAUCACCUGAAAACAACACAAAUAUGCAACAUGCAUGCAAAAUUAUCCUAAACAUGCAAAGUGAUGACAAAUGAUGUGAAAUGGUAUAAAACAGUGAUGAUAUGAUGCUAAAAUGAUGACAAAUGGAUGCUCAAAACAUGCAAAAUACACACUUAUCAACUCCCCCAAACUUAGUCUUUGCUUGCCCUCAAGCAAACAAUCAAGAACAAGCUGGAAGUGAGGUUUGAAAGCGGGGACUCAUAGCCGAAGCACCAGAUAGACCAGAUGAAAUCAAUGUCCAAGUUGAAAGUUCUAAGCUGCAAGAUCGAAUUCUACUUAAAAACGUUAGCCAUGCCUCAUCAAUCAAUCAAUCCGACUCAUAUGCUCGACUUACACAAGUUUUCAAAUCUACCAAUCCCUUUAACAUUCAUUAGUUCUGGAACGUGAAUCAAGCAAUGCAUCAUCAAAGAACUCAUUUGGCUAAGAUAAAAGGUCAAGAGACAAAGAUGGUCCCUUACAGAAUAGCCUUCAGUAACAGGAGAUCUCUCA